rnacentral:rRNA from 1 species
UACGAAGGGGGCUAGCGUUGUUCUGAAUUACUGGGCGUAAAGCGCACGUAGGCGGGUUGUUAAGUCAGGGGUGAAAUCCUGGAGCUCAACUCCAGAACUGCCUUUGAUACUGGCAACCUAGAGACUGGAAGAGGUUAGUGGAAUUCCCAGUGUAGAGGUGAAAUUCGUAGAUAUUGGGAAGAACACCAGUGGCGAAGGCGGCUAACUGGUCCAGCACUGACGCUGAGGUGCGAAAGCGUGGGGAGCAAACAGG